rnacentral:rRNA from 1 species
ACUGAAUAGAUACCCUGGUAGUCCACGCCCUAAACGAUGUCUACUAGUUGUUGGUGGAGUAAAAUCCAUGAGUAAACGCAGCUAACGCGUGAAGUAGACCGCCUGGGGAGUACGGUCGCAAGAUUAAAACUCAAAGGAAUUGACGGGGGCCGCACAAGCGGUGGAUUAUGUGGAUUAAUUCGAUGCAACGCGAAAAACCUUAACCUGGCCUUGACAUGCCACUAACGAAGCAGAGAUGCAUUAGGUGCCCGUAAGGGAAAGUGGACACAGGUGCUGCAUGGCUGUCGUCAGCUCGUGUCGUGAGAUGUUGGGUUAAGUCCCGCAACGAGCGCAACCCUUGCCAUUAAUUGCCAUCAUUUAGUUGAGCACUUUAAUGGGACUGCCGGUGACAAACCGGAGGAAGGUGGGGAUGACGUCAA